CUAUAGCAAAUUCUUCACCUGGCUCUCUACCAUGUAGUAGGAAAACCAUUAGUAUUACUGGGAAAUACACAUCUGUGAAAAUUGAGGGACAUAGCUAACGCAUUGGGAAUUACACUCUCCUACUGAUUUCCUUAUAGUGAAUGCUCCCAUUGUUGAUUUUACAUGAUUAUUUAAGAAACAAGUGGUUGUAGAUUUUGAUAUUUGGUGAUAAAAUGCCAAGGGACUACUCGUACAUCACCUAUUAUACUCUUGGUGAGAGCCGGGCUAAAGUCUUCCUUAGAUAAUUGUGACUUAUUGCGGGUAACACCAAACCCACCAAGCCUGAUUUCUAUUCUGCAUCAGUCUGCCUGAGCCACAAAGAAUGACUCAUUCUAAAGAAUGACAUGGGCAAAAGCCGACCUCAGGUAAUUGUGGCCUAUUAUAGAUAAUAUCAAACCUACCAGGGCCCUGGUUUGGAUUCCGCAUCCAUCUGCCUGAGCCACCAAGAAUGACUCAUCCCAGUGACAUGUCAUGGGCUAAUGAAAGUUCCGAAGUCCAUCAGUGGAAGGUGCUCACGUUCCAUCGACUGAUACCGAAGCUAUAAAAUUAUGUACAAUACAAAAAGUUCAGCACAAACACAACUAAUGAAUUUCAAAUGAAGUGCUUUGACAUAAUUAUAUGCAGGACGUUUUGCUGAAGCCAAGCACCACCCACAAGUCUUACAUCAAUGCCUUUGGAGUAAGAGCUGUUUUUCUCAUCACUAUUCUACAGACAGAAAAGCUCCUGGAGUUUUAGUGACUCAUCAAGGAUUACACCAUUAGAAGAUUCCCAAGUAUUGGAUUACAUUUUAGUGUGUACGAUGGAUCUUGUCUUGACGAAGUGAGGGCAGUUCUGGACAAAAGAACACACAGAAUCGCCACCUAGAGAGCGGGGACUCCUCCCCAACAAAAUAUAAAGCUUCAGACUUGCAAACCUGGAUCUGCUGCUGAGGGAGAAAAGAAAUUUUCCAGAGAAGAAAAUCCUGAGAGAAGUACCAGACAGCUCUGCAGACCAUUUUAUGACGGACAGAUUGGAUUGUUGCAUUGCACAGCCUGGCUUUCUGUUAGAGCACAGCACUUUAAAAACUCAUCCUAGCAACGGAGGCUAAGUUCUUCCAUGAGCAGAGUGAGUACAAUGAGCCUGUCUGUAUUAAUCACUAGAGAGAGAGAAAGAGAGAGUGCACACAAGCGAGGCAGGGUGUAUGGAGUAGUGAGAGGGACAAGCAGACUCCAUGCUGAGCCGGAGGAGAGCUCGAUCUCACAACCCCGAUAUCAUGAGCUA